UACGUAGGUGGCAAGCGUUGUCCGGAUUUACUGGGCGUAAAGGGCGUGCAGGCGGUUUGUUAAGUCUAGGGUGAAAGCUCCCGGCUCAACUGGGAGAGGUCCUUGGAUACUGGCAGACUUGAGGAGGGUAGAGGAGAGUGGAAUUCCCGGUGUAGUGGUGAUAUGCGUAGAUAUCGGGAGGAACACCAGUGGCGAAGGCGACUACCUGGCCUGUUCUUGACGCUGAGGCGCGAAAGCUAGGGGAGCAAACGGG
rnacentral:rRNA from 1 species